UACGGAGGGGGCUAGCGUUGUUCGGAAUUACUGGGCGUAAAGCGCGCGUAGGCGGACCUGCAAGUCGGGGGUGAAAGCCCAGGGCUCAACCUUGGAAUUGCCUUUGAUACUGGCUGUCUUGAGUUCGGGAGAGGUGAGUGGAAUGCCGAGUGUAGAGGUGAAAUUCGUAGAUAUUCGGCGGAACACCAGUGGCGAAGGCGACUCACUGGCCCGAUACUGACGCUGAGGCGCGAAAGCGUGGGGAGCAAACAGG
rnacentral:rRNA from 1 species